CAGCACUAAGUCACUUUGUCUUUAUGGCAAAUGUGAGAUGCAGUGUAUGGAACAUCUUAAAUCUAGUAUGAGAAAUUAACGAUUUAAGUCCUUCUUAAAUGAGGCCAUUUACCCAUAGAGGGUGCCAGGCCCGUAUAACGUUAAUGAUUACUAGAAGAUGUUUCCAAAGAGUCGUGUUGCUUGAUAGUGCAGCACUAAGUGGGUGGUAAACUCCAUCUAAAACUAAAUAUAACCAUGAGACCGAUAGUAAACAAGUACCGUGAGGGAAAGUUGAAAAGAACUCUGAAUAGAGAGUUAAAUAGUACGUGAAACUGCUUAGAGGUUAAGCCCGAUGAACCUGAAUAUCCAUUAUGGAAAAUUCAUCAUUGUGAUUGUAAUAUCUAAACAAUAUUAUAAUAAUAGUGUGCAUUUUUUCCAUAUAAGGACAUUGUAAUCUAUUAACAUGCUAUUUAUCAAAAGAUCAUUUGCUUAUGUUUAUUCAAAUUAAUUUGCUUGCAGGUUAACAUAGAAUAAAUGCUUAUGAUUUGAUAAAGUGUUGAUAGAUUUUAUUGUAUAUAGUGCUUAAAUUCUUUGAAUUUUAUAAUGGCAUUGAGAUCAUGAUCUUGGUGUUUAUUAUAUGCGCUUAUAUGAUUAACAAUGCG
rnacentral:rRNA from 1 species